CUCAAGCCGGGCGUUCCUAUAGGCUAGCUGGGAGGAGGUGGAGAGCCCCGCCCCCGCCAGCUUGUGCCUGUGAGAUAAGCAGCGCCCGCCGGGAAAUGUAGUCCUCUGGCUGAGGAGCGCUGUCACUCUGAGGCGUGAGACAGAGCCUCGCUAUUUGCUCUUGUUGUCCUGGAACUUACAAUGCAGACAAGGCUGGCCUUAAACCCACAGAGAUUUGCCUGCCUCUGCCUCCUGAAUGCUUGGAUUAAAGGUAUCUUGACUGCCGGGUCCUCCUGCAAGGAGAAUGAGAUGGAACUUGAGGGAGAACGGCCAAGAGUCUGAACUCCAGGAGAUCGAGAUGUAGGACUCUCAGCUCCUUCUCCAGCAUCAUGUCUGCCUGCACACCUCUAAACCUCUGAAACUGUAAGCCAUCGACAAUUAAAUGCCUUGCCCUGAAUAUAUUUUAUAAAUUAAAAUGAUGUAAAAUACUGACAUUAAUCAAGGCUGUUCUUGUGCCCCCCCUUUUUUUUUGUCUAAAGUGUGGUUAAAUUCUACUUUCUACAAAUUGAUGAUAUUACUAAAUGAGAGGAACUAAAAAUAAAACUUCCAUAUGACACA